ACAACAGGUGGAGCCUGCGGUUUAAUCGGACUCAACGCCGGGAAACUCACCAGAUAAGACAGCUGAAUGAUAGUCGGGCUGAAGACUCACUUGACUAGCUGAGAGGAGGUGCAUGGCCGUCGUCAGUUCGUACUGUGAGGCAUCCUGUUAAGUCAGGCAACGAGCGAGACCCACGCCAACAGUUGCCAGCUCGUCCUCCGGGAUGGUGGGGACACUGUUGGGACCGCCUCUGCUAAAGAGGAGGAAGGAAUGGGCAACGGUAGGUCAGCAUGCCCCGAAUUAUCUGGGCUACACGCGGGCUACAAUGGGUGGGACAAUGGGUAUCGACACCGAAAGGUGAAGGCAAUCUCCUAAACCCAUCCGUAGUUCGGAUUGUGGGCUGCAACUCGCCCACAUGAAGCUGGAAUCUGUAGUAAUCGUGUCUCAAAAUGGCACGGUGAAUAUGUCCCUGCUCCUU
rnacentral:rRNA from 1 species